AGUAGAGUCAGCUAAUUAAGCUUUCGGGCCCAUACCCCGACAAUGUAGGUUAAACUCCUCCCUUUACUA
rnacentral:tRNA from 2 species